rnacentral:rRNA from 1 species
UACGUAGGGUGCGAGCGUUGUCCGGAAUUAUUGGGCGUAAAGGGCUCGUAGGCGGUCUGUUGCGUCGGGAGUGAAAACUCAGGGCUUAACCCUGAGCCUGCUUCCGAUACGGGCAGACUAGAGGUAUGCAGGGGGAGAACGGAAUUCCUGGUGUAGCGGUGAAAAUGCGCAGAUAUCAGGAGGAACACCGGUGGCGAAGGCGGUUCUCUGGGCAUUACCUGACGCUGAGGAGCGAAAGUGUGGGGAGCGAACAGG